GUUUUUUGAUUGAUCAAUAAACAAGGACUUGGAGUCUAGAUGCGCAGAAGUUAAACAACAAGGAAGCCCCAGUUGGGUUAAAGCCACGCAAUAGAAUUCCGAAGUGUCGUUUUUUCCGAAAAAUAAACCUUUUCGUUUAUUUAGAAGUCAAAUCGUACCGUAUGUGACCAUGAAGACAGCAUUUGUUCUGCUGGUGUGUGUGCUGGCACCGAUCAUUUCGGCAAAGCUGUGCCAGAAGACUACAACUGUGACCAGGUACCGACAGGACAAGAGUUAUCGGUCGUGUGGCUGGUGGGGAUGGAACAGGUGCACGACAUACAACAGAGCGUCCUAUACUGUCCCUAUAAACGAAACUGAGUGUUGCGCAGGGGACAUCGGCCACAUAGAAAGUGGUUGUAACGGAG